GGUACUUGGGGCUGGGCCCUCAAGUCUAGCCCAAUGCUCUCUUCUCUUGUAAAAUUGAGAAAACUCCUUUUAGAAAUUUGUAAAGGGCACCUCUCCUUCUCUCUAUUCAUGAAAAUGGAAAAAGCUUUCACUCUGGUUCAGACAGUUGCAGUGGCACCAGUCUUCUCUACCGUUUCCGGCUGGUACUUACUUUCUCUCACUUCCCGGAAUUCCAUUAUUUUCAGGUACGGCUUCAUGUUUGGAAGAGAAUCUGCUCGCAAAGAGCUCGGAAGCUUAAUCGAAGACCUUCGCCGCCAGAAUCCCAAUUCCGAUCCUCAUUCCUAACUUCAUUUGGACGGUCAUAAAGCAUGGCUUGCAGAGGUUCAAUUUCUCGGUGUGGUAAAUCACCCAAAUCUGGUAAAGCUUCCAGGAUAUUGCUCUAUAAAUGGAGAAAGAGGGAUUCAACGGCUAUUGGUAUAUGAAUAUAUGCCUAAUAGAAGCUUAGAAGAUCAUCUUUUCAACAGGGCUUUGAACCCUUUUCCUUGGAUCACGAGGUUACAAAUAAUGCUUGGUGCUGCUCAAGGAUUGGCUUAUCUACACGAGGAACUGGAAGUCCAGGUGAAUAUAGUUUUCAUUUAUUUGACCUAUGUGUGACCAUGUAUUUCCUUUGAGUUUGUUUGGAAUGUAGAACUACCAUAUCAUGUGAACAUGUGACUCAUCUAUGUGAAUUUGACCAAUGGAAUACCAAAUCAGUAUAAUGACCUGCUUAAGCUAGUGAAGUAUUAGAACUAGGACUAGGAUGUAGCAACUACUUAUUACGUCAUACAUCUUCUACUUGUUUUCUGCAUUUAUAGUGACAUAUCUGGUUUUGGAAUAACAAUUGUAUGUGCUACUACUAUAAUUGCCUUCAGUUACAUACAUUGGUGGACACUGUCACUUCAGUAACCGUCCGUUAUCUUGAAUACAUUCUGUACUCUAAAAACUUUAGCUGUUGGGACCCUGUGGUUGUGUCACAUGGUAUAAGAGUUCUUGAGUUCGCAGUUGUUGGGAAAUCCUCAAGGGCUUAUUGAGUGCGCCAAGGCUUUGGAUCAGAUCUGAUGAAUCGAUUUUGGGUAAUCCCACAUACUAAUAUACAAGAUUACCGUAGUUUUUUUAGUUUUUUUAUUUUCAUAAAUUUUGAAUUUCAUUGAAGGAGAAAGCAAUUAGGGUUGUUUGCAGUGUUGCACGUAAUCCCCUUUUAUAUUGAAAAAUUUUCAAUUCUUGUUUUGUUUCUUGCUCUCUGAUAUUGGAUUUGGUUCAACAACUAGCUAGACUGAUAGUUUCUAUUUAUUGCAAUUUUUGUUGCUGUUUAAGAGUUGCUCAAACAUAGUCCUAUAAAAUGUUGAAUGUAUAUACAGAUUAGAAGCUUAUAGAGAUUAAAUGGUCGUAGGCGGUUGGCUUAAUAGUUGAUAUAUCAUGUAUUUAGUAUUUACAUUAGUUUUGUUCGCAUGUCAUCAAUACUUGUAGGUGUAAUUUGCUCUAACAAAAACAACCAAGGAUCAUGGAACACAUGCAUAAGUCAUUGGCAACUGCAACUUCUUAAGCUCAAAGAGCUUGUGCUGACCCCAUGGUAGACAGAUUGAGUAGUGUUCCAUGCGAAGUUGCUCACCAAAUUCUUUCAUUGGUCAGUUUUAAAGAUCUCACUUGCGUGGGCAGCAUGUCCAAAAGAUGCAGAGAGUUUUAUCUAUCAACUCCAUCAUUGAAUUUUUCUUCCUUGUAUGGAAACAGGCAGCAGCAAUUGAACUUGUUGAAUUGUAUAGAUAGGUAUAUGAUUCGUCGCAGGGAUGAUAAGAUAAAGAGCUUUCGUUUUCAUUGGUGUUUCUCUGCAGGAAUUUCAGAAGAGAGUUUCCGAAUGAUGACUUGGAUCCUUAUUGCAGUGAGGUGCAAUGUUGAAGUGCUUAUCUUCAGUUGAGGUUGAAUACAAAAGAUGGGGCAACACCUGAAUUGCCACCUUGCAUCUAUUGCUGUGAAUCUUUGAGGUCAAUGUUGAUCAACACAGAGACAAUUCUUAAAGCACCCUCCUUUGCUUGUUCCAGUAAUCUCCAAUACUUGAAGUUGACAAGUGUUAGAAUGGAUAAUGGCUUUGGCAAAUGGAUCUCGGGCUCAUGCAAAUGCAUUAAGGAACUAUUGUUAGACAAUGUCCAUGUGGGAAGUUUCACCAUUGAAAGCUCGUCUUUGGAAUCAUUUACGUAUGAGACUUAUUUUUGUUAAAGAUCAUGACCCUCCCCUACCUUAGGGAUAUUACCACCACAUUUCCAAGUUUUGUAUUUAAUUCAGAGGUUGAUGAGAUUGCUACAUGAGAGACAAUAGCUUAGAUUGCAGUUAGAGUUCCAUCGUCAGUUGCUUGUAAUUUUUCUAAAGCUCAGAAAAAAAAAGGAAAGAAAAGAAGUUUUAGGUAUUAAAUGUUGGUGCAUCAGGAAAUCUUUAUAAAGAAAGUUGCUGAAGUUGUAGUAGCUAUCUUUGGUCGAUUGUAGAGCACCUUCCAGAUAAUGGAAAUUUUCUAUCCUGUUUUUCUGUUGGCAA